rnacentral:rRNA from 1 species
UACGUAGGGGGCGAGCGUUGUCCGGAUUUACUGGGCGUAAAGAGCGCGCAUGCGGUCGUAUAAGUCGAAUGUGAAAGCCCCUGGCUCAACUAGGGAGAGUCAUUCGAUACUGUUCGACUCGAAGGCAGGAGAGGGAAGUGGAAUUCCGGGUGUAGUGGUGAAAUGCGUAGAUAUCCGGAGGAACACCAGUGGCGAAGGCGACUUUCUGGCCUGUUCUUGACGCUGAGGCGCGAAAGCUAGGGGAGCAAACGGG